CUCCACAUCCCUUGUAAGUUGUAUUCCUAGGUAUUUUAUUCUCUUUGUAGCAAUUGUGAAUGGGAGUUCACUCAUGAUUUGGCUCUCUGUUUGUCUAUUAUUGGUGUAUAGGAAUGCUUGUGAUUUUCGCACAUUGAUUUUGUAUCCUGAGACUUUGCUGAAGUUGGGCAAUCAAGCAAAAGAAAGAAAUAAAGAGUAUUCAAAUAGGAAGAGAGGAAGUCAAAUUGUCUCUCUGUUUGCAGAUGACAUGAUUGUAUAUUUAGGAAACCCCAUCAUCUAAACACAUUCUUAAAAAGCUGGUAAAAGAGACUCUUCUGAGAGCUGACACAGGCUAGACUCGCCUGGGUGACAGUGAUGGUGACAGGGAGAAAUAUGGAACACAGCUAGAGAUUGAGCUAAAAGAAUGAGAAGUGGAAAGACUUGUGGAGCCUGGUGGGUGCCAGUUCAGCCCCCACAAAAGCAGCCCUCCCAGCGUGAACCCCUUCCCUGCAGGAGUGAAUGGGAGAGCCUGAGGAAUGACCUAGGGCUACCGUGGCUUCACCCCACUGCUCUCCACUGCCACAUCCACUUCUGGGCAGACAGCACAGUCAGUUGCCAGAUGCCUCUUCUGCACGGAGACCAUUUACUUGUGAGCCUGACAGACAGCUUCACACCACCCUGAGGAAGUGGUUCAGAAAGAAAAUGUCAGUGUUUGUACUCAUGACAGUCUUCAAAGAAAUUUGGAAAGCAUAGACACUGAACGGCAGUCCUUAAUUGCCCCCCAACCCCAGUAAGCUGUGAUCUACUCCAGAAGUGAGAAUUAUCAAAACUUUGGAUCUGGUAGGUCCUCUUGUUUAUUUUGUCAUUCUCAUGAUCUCCACUUGGCCUUCAUUUUCUUUUCCUUUGUUCCUUUUUUUAAAAAAUAUAAGCUCUAUUAUUCACAGUAGCAAAGACAUGGAAUCAACUUAGGUGCCAUCAGUGGUGGAUCGAAUAAAGAAAAUGUGGCAUAUAUACACCAUGGAAUACUAUGAAGCCAUAAAAAAGAACAAAAUCGCCUUCCAGCGAUAGGGAUGCAGCUGGUGACCAUUAUCUCAAGCAAAUUAAUGCAGAAACAGAAAACCAAAUACUGCAUGUCCUCACUUAUAAAUGGGAGCUAAAUAUUGGGUACACACAGAUAUAAAGUUGGGAACAAUAGACACGGGGGACCUUACAGGAGGAGAGGGAUGAAGGAGGACAAGGGUUGAAGACUCCCUAUUGGGUACUAUGGUCACCAUUUGGGUGACAAGUCCAAUCAAAGCCCAAACUUCAGCAUCACACAGUAUACCCAUGUAACAAACCUGCACAUGUACCCCUGAAUCUAACAUUUAAAAAGAAAAAAUAAAUUAUAAGCUCUAUAAUACAUGCUAAAAGUAUUUAAAACAUUAUGUACUGUAUCAUUUAAGGUAGGUAAACCUCAAAAUUCCAAUGGCUUCACUCAAGAGAACUUCUUUCUUUUUUUUUUUUUUUUGAAACAGGGUCUCACUUUGUCACCCAGGCUGGAGUGCAGUGGUGCAAUCUUGGCUCACUGCAACCUCCACCUCCCAGG
rnacentral:lncRNA from 1 species